rnacentral:rRNA from 1 species
UAGGGAAUAUUGGUCAAUGGGUGAGAGCCUGAACCAGCCAUGCCGCGUGCAGGAAGACGGCCUUCUGGGUUGUAAACUGCUUUUAUCUGGGGAUAAAAUAUCCUUGCGAGGAGAAUUGAAGGUACCAGAGGAAUAAGCCACGGCUAACUACGUGCCAGCAGCCGCGGUAAUACGUAGGUGGCAAGCGUUGUCCGGAUUUAUUGGGUUUAAAGGGUGCGUAGGCGGCUUUGUAAGUCAGUGGUGAAAUACGGCAGCUCAACUGUCGAGGUGCCAUUGAUACUGCAGAGCUAGAGUACUGAUGAGGUAGGCGGAAUGGACGGUGUAGCGGUGAAAUGCUUAGAUAUCGUCCAGAACACCGAUAGCGAAGGCAGCUUACUAAAGAGUAACUGACGCUGAGGCACGAAAGUGUGGGGAUCAAACAGG